GACGAUUCCUCGCCACCACCACCU
rnacentral:siRNA from 1 species